AUGCCGCCGCCGGCGCCGCACGAGGAGUUCAAGGCCGCCGACGGCGAGGCAUACAAGUACGCAGAGCACGUGCCUAAGCUCGCCAAGUUCCUCUGCAGUUUCCACUCCGACGACCUCCGCCGCAUCCUCCUCCACCCCGAGUCCACGCUCCACUUCCCCCUCGUCAUCGACUUCGCGGAGCUCCUGGACUUCGACCCCGGCUUGGCCAAAAUACUCUACAACGACCCCAAGGACUUCCUCCGCGCCUUCGACAAGGUCGCCCAGCGCGCCCAGAGCGAGGUGUUGUGCAACCUCCGAAAGGGCGAGGCGUUGGGUAAUCCGGACGAGUCGAGGCCCGCUGCCGUGCAGAAGGGGUUCGUGCACGUGCGCGUCAACGUCUGCGGGUCGCCACUGGAAUUCCCUGAGUCGUCGCCGAGCAUCGGGAAGGUUAGGGUGAAGCAUAGGGGGAUUCUGCUGACAUUGAAGGGGACUGUGAUCAGAUCAGGCGGUGUGAAGAUGAUCGAGGGCGAGCGGGAGUAUCAAUGCAGGAAAUGCAACUGCAGGUUCCGCUGCUAUCCUGAGCUAGAGGCUGGGAAUCGUAUAACUCUACCUGCAUCUUGCCCAUCCAUGAGUUCAAAAGGUUGUCAAAGUGCUUCUUUCCAAUUGAUAGGAGAUAGCAUAAGCUGUCAUGAUUAUCAAGAAAUAAAAAUCCAAGAAAGCGUGCAACUUCUGGAUGUUGGGUCCAUACCCCGUUCCAUGCCUGUGAUUUUGAUGGAUGACCUUGUUGAUCUUGUUAAAGCUGGAGAUGAUGUCAUUGUUACGGGUAUAUUAUCUGCAAAGUGGUCCUCUGAUUUUAAGGAUGUGCGUUGCAACCUUGAUCCUAUGUUUAUUGCCAAUUAUGUGAGGAGAACUAAUGAGCUGAAGUCUGGUAUAGACAUCCCUGAGGAAAUUAUCAAGGAUUUUGAGCUUUUCUGGGCAGAAAACAGAGCUACUCCACUAGAAGGAAGAAAUAAAAUCUUGAAAGGCAUUUGUCCUCAGAUUUUUGGGUUAUUCACGGUAAAGCUUGCAGUUGCUCUUACAUUGAUUGGUGGGGUGCAGCAUGUUGAUGCUUCUGGAACAAAGGUUCGUGGCGAACCACAUAUGCUUCUUGUUGGUGAUCCAGGUACUGGUAAAUCCCAGUUUUUGAAGUUUGCUGCUAAAUUGAGCAACCGUUCUGUGAUUACAACUGGUCUUGGAAGUACCAGUGCUGGUUUGACUGUGACUGCUGUCAAGGAUGGAGGUGAGUGGAUGCUUGAGGCUGGUGCCCUUGUGCUGGCUGAUGGUGGUUUGUGCUGCAUAGACGAAUUUGAUAGUAUGCGAGAGCAUGACAGGACAACAAUACAUGAAGCCAUGGAACAACAAACAAUAAGCGUUGCAAAGGCUGGACUGGUGACAACACUCAGUACAAGGACUACUGUCUUUGGUGCCACUAAUCCAAAAGGACAAUAUGAUUCAAAUGAAUCCUUAUCCGUGAAUACAACACUUUCAGGACCAUUGUUGAGUAGAUUUGAUAUAGUUCUUGUUCUCUUUGAUAAAAAGAACCCUAAGUUGGAUGGUAUAAUUUCAUCUCAUAUAUUAGCCCAGAGCACCAAGGCAGAAGAAAACAAGGCCAGUGACGCUGCCGUAAAAAGCACCCAACCUUUGGGUAUAAAAGAGUGGACACUCCCCUGUUUGAGAAGGUAUAUCCACUAUGUAAAGCAACGGUUCAAACCGGUGCUGACAAAGGAAGCAGAAAGUGUUAUCUCAGGCUAUUAUCAGCUUCAGCGGAGAGAUGGAACACAUAAUGCAGCAAGGACAACUGUGCGUAUGCUUGAGAGUUUGAUAAGGCUGGCCCAAGCACACGCAAGACUAAUGUUCAGAAAUGAGGUUACACGGCUUGAUGCUAUUGCUGCCAUAUUAUGCAUCGAGUCCUCCAUGACAAUAUCCGCAAUCAUAGACGGUGAUGGAAACGCUCUGAACUCCAAUUUCCAAGAGAAUCCUGAUCAGGAAUAUAUCAAAGAGGAGCAGAAAAUUCGUGACAAGCUUGCGGAUUACCUAUACUAA
rnacentral:rRNA from 1 species